rnacentral:lncRNA from 1 species
AUGCUGGCUCUGGAUCACUUCACUAACCCUCUGCUCCCUCUUAGAGAUGGACUAGGAUUAGGAGACAGCCAGCGUGAGAUUCUCUCUCUCUCUCUCUCUCUCUCUCUCGCUCUCUCUCUCUCUCCCUCUCGCCUGCAUGCUCCCUCUUUCUCUCUCUCUCUCUCUUCUCUUUAUUUUCAACUCUCCUUUUGCACCUUUUCUCUUAUUGAAUUCAACUCUGACCAGUGGAGGCUCCUCAGAGGAGGAACGGGAGGACCAUUCUCCUCAGUGAAUUUCAUUUUAAAAAAAAUCAUUUUUGGAUAAAACUAUACUAAAUAUAUUCACGUCACCAAAUAAUUGAUUAAAACACACUUUUGCAAUAAAGGUCUACUGUAGCCUCAACAGCACUCUCUGGGGUAGCAUCAUGGCGUAGCCGGAGGACGGCUAGUUUCCAUCUUCCUCUGGGUACAUUGACUUCAAAAGAAAACCGAGAAGUCUCAUGGUUAUUA